rnacentral:rRNA from 1 species
GACGGAGGAGGCAAGCGUUAUCCGGAAUUAUUGGGCGUAAAGCGUCCGCAGGCGGUUUUUUAAGUCUGUUGUCAAAGGUCACAGCUCAACUGUGGAUCGGCAAUGGAAACUGGGGAACUUGAGUGUGGUAGGGGUAGAGGGAAUUCCCGGUGUAGCGGUGAAAUGCGUAGAUAUCGGGAAGAACACCAGUGGCGAAGGCGCUCUACUGGGCCACAACUGACGCUGAGGGACGAAAGCUAGGGGAGCGAAAGGG